CGCGCGUACGCACGCACGCAUGCAACUACCAACAGAGCUAUCCAAGCCUGAGUCACAACCUGACCUUACAGCUUUACUUCCACCACUACUGCCUCUCGCACCUUCCAUACUUCACAGAAGUUGCACUCCAUACCUUGCAAGAUGAGCACUGCCGGAAGAAAGAAUGUUGUGGAGAAAUGGCUCAGCCACAUUCUAGGGGAUUGUUUUAAAAAGAAAUUCCUCUGCAGCAGAGUGUGCACCGUCGAAACUUGCUGGUGGAUACCGCAAAUGGUAGAGGACUUUCCUGUGAAAAGUAAAGGCCACAGAUGCAAGUUCUGGUCCAGUAGUCAGUUUUAAUCUGCGAGGAAGUUUCAAAUCAGCACACACUCUGCUCUGCAGAGUGAAAUUACAUUCUGGCUGACAGCAGUUCUUUCUGUGCACUGUGAACUCUCUGCCACACAGUGCAAGAUAGCUUUCUGAGUAUAAAUGUAGAUGUACAUAGUAUUUUCAGAAAUAAUAAUAGAUUAAGUUUUAAUAUUAGCUGUGUAUUUUUCAUCUAUUACUGUACCAUUCACAUACAUUGUCUGUGUGAACUGAUUAUUGCUUGUAUUUCAGUCCAGUUAAGAAAUGGAAACAACAAUAAGCAGGUGGAUUGAACUCAUCUAGGGGUGAGAAGUCAUGUACCCACAUGACGUGUACCACAAAUCCAGUUUCAGCUCACCGCAGGUCUGGGAAGGAAGUUUUAGAGUGCUGCAGAGUUUAGUAUGGAAAAUAACCACAUAAUGUUCUUUGUGAACAUGUGUGCUGUGGAACUGAAAACACUCAGCAAGCAAGAUCUUAAAGUGCUGUACAUCUCCAACAGUUUUGUAGAGUUGAAGACGGCAGAGAAAAGGAAAGUACUGGAAGUUCUGCUUCCAGUAAAGGAAAUAAUUGGUCACUGGCUGAUAUUUUAACAUUUUUAAACAAAAUGGAUCACAAGCGAGUAAGUACAUCCAACGUUGAGGCAGAUGAAGUGCAAAGCCCACAAUAUGAUGGUGAACUGAGUAACAGAGAGGUGUGCCAGACAUUGCCAACUUUGUCAGAAAAAGAAAUUUUUUUUCCGAAGACGUGGAAGACAUCGCAUCAUUCAGACCACCACAGAGACCGAAACGCCAGCUUAUUAAUGCAUUUAAUGUUGCAAUAAGUGUUAAUUUCAUAUUUUUGUAUUGUGCAAUUUUAAUUUUUUACACUGUAUGCAUUAUUAAUAAAGCAAUAACACAUCAACAAA